rnacentral:rRNA from 1 species
GAUGAACGCUGGCGGCGUGCCUAAUACAUGCAAGUCGAGCGAACGGACGAGAAGCUUGCUUCUCUGAUGUUAGCGGCGGACGGGUGAGUAACACGUGGAUAACCUACCUAUAAGACUGGGAUAACUUCGCGAAACCGUAGCUAAUACCGGAUAAUAUUUUGAACCGCAUGGUUCAAAAGUGAAAGACGGUCUUGCUGUCACUUAUAGAUGGAUCCGCGCUGCAUUAGCUAGUUGGUAAGGUAACGGCUUACCAAGGCAACGAUGCAUAGCCGACCUGAGAGGGUGAUCGGCCACACUGGAACUGAGACACGGUCCAGACUCCUACGGGAGGCAGCAGUAGGGAAUCUUCCGCAAUGGGCGAAAGCCUGACGGAGCAACGCCGCGUGAGUGAUGAAGGUCUUCGGAUCGUAAAACUCUGUUAUUAGGGAAGAACAUAUGUGUAAGUAACUGUGCACAUCUUGACGGUACCUAAUCAGAAAGCCACGGCUAACUACGUG